GAUGAACGCUGGCGGCGUGCCUAAUACAUGCCAGUCGAACGAAACUUCUUUAUCGCCGCGUGCUUGCACUCACCGAUAAAGAGUUGAGUGGCGAACGGGUGAGUAACACGUGGGCAACCUGCCCAAAAGAGGGGGAUAACACUUGGAAACAGGUGCUAAUACCGCAUAACCAUAGUUACCGCAUGGUAACUAUGUAAAAGGUGGCUAUACUACCGCUUUUGGAUGGGCCCGCGGCGCAUUAGCUAGUUGGUAGGGUAAAGGCUUACCAAGGCAAUGAUGCGUAGCCGAAUUGAGAGGUUGAUCGGCCACAUUGGGACUGAGACACGGCCCAAACUCCUACGGGAGGCAGCAGUAGGGAAUCUUCCACAAUGGGCGAAAGCCUGAUGGAGCAACGCCGCGUGGGUGAAGAAGGUCUUCGGAUCGUAAAACCCUGUUGUUAGAGAAGAAAGUGCGUGAGAGUAACUGUUCACGUUUCGACGGUAUCUAACCAGAAAGCCACUGCUAACUACGUG
rnacentral:rRNA from 1 species